rnacentral:rRNA from 1 species
UACAGAGGGGCAAGCGUUGUUCGGAAUUACUGGGCGUAAAGGGCGCGUAGGCGGCCUGCUAAGUCGAACGUGAAAUCCCUGGGCUCAACCCAGGAACUGCGUCCGAUACUGGUUGGCUUGAAUCCGGGAGAGGGAUGUGGAAUUCCAGGUGUAGCGGUGAAAUGCGUAGAUAUCUGGAGGAACACCGGUGGCGAAGGCGGCAUCCUGGACCGGUAUUGACGCUGAGGAGCGAAAAGCCAGGGGAGCAAACGGG